AAAACAUUCGAUAACUGACAGCAAUAACAAACAAAUGUUUGUAACUAGGAAAGUAGUAUAUAAAAAUGAUAUUAUUUCGUACGUAUCGUAUUAUUAUAAUAUUAUUUAUUCAUACCGUUUUAGCCACGGAUGGAAAUGUUAUGAACCAAUAUUCCAAAGAACAUUAUCAAUAAUUAUUUUGGCGAUGAAAACACGCGAACUAUUUGCAAAGCUAUGCAACGGACCAAUAGUAAUAACAAUUAGAAACUAGGUAUCAUAGUUUAAAACUAUAGAUUAGUUU